AUUUUGGACAGGUUCAAUUUUCAAGGGAAACCUUAGAGAGGCUGUUGGCGAGGAUAUGUGUUUUUGAACUGUUGGCAUUUUGAGCCUUUCACUGCCUGAAAACCUUAUGGGGUCGUUGUCGUUCAUGGUAUCUCUCAUACGAACAUUUAUUUCACUAUGCAUGGUGUGGAAACUGUCUACUGAAGUGUGUGUGCGGCGAGUGUGUUCCUUGGUGGCUGUGGCUUAAUCUGCUUUUGCUACUUUCACUCUCGCCUUAUGUGCUUGUCGGCUGCUACUGAACGCUGUAAUGGUGGUGGUGUUCUAGCCGGGAGGCUAAUGCCUUCUUCAGUCAACCUAUUUUUAAGUGAUUGGCUACAUUGAAAAAAAUCUAAGCUGACA